GUAGUUCUGUGAUUCUGUGAACCUUGAGUCUGAAAGGGCCGAAGUCAAAAGCAGAGCUCUCUACUGUCAAACAGGACAUCUCUCGCUCCGAGGAAGCCAUCAUCAACGGUCACAGGAAUAAAACUCUGUGCCGGAGUCCAGACGACACGUGUGAAUUCGCCCGCGCCACUCAGCUCGCGUCUACUCCGUUUGCUGGAGCCGCGAGGCCAAAAGCGUCCGAAUCGGGACUGACGGAGAACCCGAGCCGAACGGCCCCAGAAUCCACUAAAGCACCGAGCUCUAACACGACCGCCGAGGAGAAAAAGCUCAGUCCGAUCUUAGAGAUCAGUCAGGAGUGGGGGGGCACUUCCUUCGCUACCGUCUCCCACAGCUCCGUGAAGCACUUAAAGGAGCCUGAGCUCGGCCCAGCUGCGGACACACCGGAGGAAGGUGGGAAAUAAAGCUAAUGCUUUACA